rnacentral:rRNA from 1 species
UGGUGACUAUAGCAAGGAGGUCACACCUGUUCCCAUGCCGAACACAGAAGUUAAGCUCCUUAGCGUCGAUGGUAGUCGAACUUACCGGCAAAAUAAAAGUUAACACAAA